rnacentral:rRNA from 1 species
UACGGAGGGUGCAAGCGUUGUCCGGAUUUAUUGGGUUUAAAGGGUGCGUAGGUGGUCCCAUAAGUCAGCUUUGAAAGUGGUCUGCUUAACAGAACAGGGUGGGUUGAUACUGUGGGACUUGAAUGGCGUCGAGGCCACCGGAACGGGUCGUGUAGCGGUGAAAUGCAUAGAUAUGACCCAGAACACCGAUUGCGAAGGCAGGCAGCUACGACCUGAUUGACACUGAGGCACGAGAGCAUGGGUAGCGAACAGG